rnacentral:rRNA from 1 species
UACGUAGGGUGCAAGCGUUAAUCGGAAUUACUGGGCGUAAAGCGUGCGCAGGCGGUUGUGCAAGACAGAUGUGAAAUCCCCGGGCUCAACCUGGGAAUUGCAUUUGUGACUGCACGGCUAGAGUGUGUCAGAGGGGGGUAGAAUUCCACGUGUAGCAGUGAAAUGCGUAGAGAUGUGGAGGAAUACCGAUGGCGAAGGCAGCCCCCUGGGAUAACACUGACGCUCAUGCGCGAAAGCGUGGGGAGCAAACAGG